GCCCGAGUGGCGGAAUGGUAGACGCAGGGGAUUCAAAAUCCCCCGGCCGCAAGGUCAUGUCGGUUCGAGUCCGACCUCGGGUACCA
rnacentral:tRNA from 1 species